rnacentral:rRNA from 1 species
CCUACGGGUGGCAGCAGUCGGGAAUAUUGCGCAAUGGAGGAAACUCUGACGCAGUGACGCCGCGUAUAGGAAGAAGUUUCUCGGAAUGUAAAACAUUGUUGUUAGGGAAGAGAAAGGAGAGUACCUAAGGAGGAAGAUACGGCUAAAUACGUGCCAGCAGCCGCGGUAAUACGUAGGGAGCGAGCGUUAUCCGGAUUUAUUGGGUGUAAAGGGUGCGUAGACGGGAAAAGAAGUUAGUUGUGAAAUCCCUCGGCUUAACUGAGGAACUGCAACUAAAACUAUUUUUCUUGAGUGCAGGAGAGGUAAGUGGAAUGCGUGGUGUAGCGGUGAAAUGCGUAGAUAUUAGGAAGAACACCGGUGGCGAAGGCGACUUACUGGACUGUAACUGACGUUGAGGCACGAAAGUGUGGGUAUCAAACAGGAUUAGAUACCCCUGUAGUC